AUUAGGACGCAAUAGCAGCACUGCUAAGCCGCCUGUUUCUGCACAACUUUGACUUCCUAUUUGUUCAACAAAUAACCCCAUAAGCAUACUCCUACAUGACUUACAGUAGCUUGGGCAUACAAGAGUGAUUCAGCGAAUAAAAAAAUAGAAAGUCAUUGGCAUAGACUCACAAAUGAUGUAACUAGCAGCGGCCACCCUACCAACAGCUGUGCGUGUGUGGUCUACAGAUGCUGGCUCAGCUAUUUAAGCAACGUCCAAAAGAAAAAUACUGAAUAAUUUAGCUCUCCACACCAAUAACAGGCAAAGUUACACUUAGCAUAGCUAUUACAUGAAAGACACCCCAAUGAACAAAACACUACUAGGGUAUUAAAAACAAUAAAUACAUAUAAAUACAUUUUUGUUUUGACAGACAAAUGGAGCCUUGCCACAGACUAACUAAACGUUUUUGUGUCUGUACAAAAAUGUUAAUUUUCACCAGCAGUCGUUUGUGUUUUUGGAUGCUAAAAGGCUCAACACUGCGCUAAUAGCGUUAGCACGUCAAUGGCGUUUUCCAAGGCACUCCGAGACAUCCAAGGACACCUUUUGGGGGAGACUGCUCAUGUAAUUGGAGGAGCACGGAGCUUCAAAAUGAGUCUGGAUGCAAACAUGAAGCAUGUGUUUUGUACAGUAGGUGAUAUGUGUGAAUGGAGCUGGUUGUGGUCGUAGCAGCGAAUGUAGCGGCGGCUAACAAACAAACGACAACAGCCUCUUUAACACAGCUUGGAAAUGUGAAUGGCAGCUGGCAGAAAAUAUUCCAUUCCUAUCAAAGGCCACACAAGGGUAGAUAAAUGCUGAAUUUAUUUUAUUGUUUUUAUUUUUUAUUAUUUACAUAUAUAUAUUUUUUUAUUUCUUAUUUUCUUAUUUAUUUUUCAUUUCUCUUUCCGCCAGUAUUGAGUGUGUUAUUAUUAUUAUUAUUGUUAUUAUUAUUAUUAUUACAUAUAUAUUUUCUUUAUUUCUUAUUUUCUUAUUUUCUUAUUUCUUAUUUAUUUUUUAUUUCUCUUUCAGCCAGUGUUGAGUGUGUUAUUAUUAUUAUUAUUAUUAUUAUUAUUAUUACAUAUUUAUUUUCUUUAUUUAUUAUUUAUUAUUUAUUUUUUAUUUCUCUUUCCGCCAGUAUUGAGUGUGUUAUUAUUAUUAUUAUUAUUAUUAUUAUUAUUAUUAUUAUUAUAUAUUUAUUUUCUUUAUUUCUUAUUUUCUUAUUUCUUAUUUAUUUUUUAUUUCUCUUUCCGCCAGUAUUGAGUGUGUUAUUAUUAUUAUUAUUAUUAUUAUUAUUAUUAUUAUUAUUAUUAUUAUUAUUAUUAUUAUUAUUAUUAUUAUUAUUAUUAUUAUAUAUUUAUUUUCUUUAUUUCUUAUUUUCUUAUUUCUUAUUUAUUUUUUAUUUCUCUUUCCGCCAGUGUUGAGGUAAAGAUACAAAAUAAUUUGUCUCAAUAGUCUCCACAUACUGUGUGAAAAACUAUAUGGCAAUAUUUUGCAAUCUACCACUAUGUUACACGCUUCUGCAUUCUGUGUAUGUAUGUAUGCUAUGACCCCGCCUCUUCCCACCGAGACACAGUAUUGGACACAGUAUUGGACACAGUAUUGGACACAGUAUUGGACACAGGUUGGACGGCGCUAUCUGCAGGGGGAAAAAAAAGAGUGCUGCUGCUCUGAAUCUGGAAGACGGCGUUGUCUCAGAAGUCCAUUCACUCAACAUUUUCCAGCAGGAAAAUGCUUUGUCAAGACGUGAUGUUGAGGAACUCUAGCAGCAGCACAGAGCCAUUAUAGAAGAAUGUACAACCACUAACCAGAGCCUCUUCCUCCUUUCGGACAAAGAAAACAUCCAAUCAUGGAGGUCCAGCAUUAUCCAAGCUGGACGUAUUCGAUGAUCUGGUUGCAGCCGACCACCCUUGUCUGGACACCGGUCGGCAGGAACACAACACCUUCCACGGGGUAAUAUCGGAGGAGUUCAAUCUCCAUCAUCAGGCUUGUGACCCCCACAAAAGGCCUGCCUGGAGACACAUGACAGCGCCACAAAGACAACACAGGUGGCUGCUUGAGGACCACCUGGAGCAAGAUGGGGCAGGAGAGCUGCGACAUCUGGGAAAAUCACCGAUGACACGCAUGGGAAAAAAGCCACUGAGAGACUUAGCCUUCACCUCCUCCUGCUCCUCCUCCCUCCAUUAUCACCUUAGAAGAUGAGAGCGUGCCACUCUCUGAGGCUGUGUGAUCUUGUACACAGCGUUUUUCUGCACUUCGGCGAUGUCUCCAACCGCCAAUCCGAUCUGCAAAGCGACACAAAGUGGCCGAUAAGGUGAAAGGUCGAGGGGAGGAGCCUGUUCUGUUCCCUUCAUCGGGUCGCGCUCACCAUCAGAUUGACGAGCAAGAUGGGCAUGAGCAGAACGAAGGACGUUAAAAUGAACAACGUCAACACAUCGAAUGGAAGCUCGUUGUUCAGAUAAGCAUCCAGGAAGUUGUUCUGGUAGUUGAGCUCCCCCACCAUCAUGACAAAGGACUGCAUCAGCGCCAGCGGCAGGUUCUCAAACUCUCUCUGUGGGGGGGAACAAACUCACCAGUGAUGUUUGAAAUCAACUAAAACCAUCAGUACGGCGUUCCCGUACCUGGUUGAGCAUCAACGCAUGGAACGCCAACGCAAACGCCAACAAGAGAUAAAAGAAGAGCAUUACGACUCGAUACAGCGUCCGCAUGAUCUCGCCGAACAUCACAACGUAGAUGCCAAUACCCUCAAACCUGCAGGAAGAACAGACCCGGUCAAGUGGGCGGCCUCCAUGGAUACAAUCAACAGAACUUUCCAAGGUACCUCUGGAGAUAGAGAAGAAAUCCAACCCAGGAUUGUAAAACCGCCAUGGCGCCUGCUUGCCAGUGCAAAGAACCUUGCGCGUUUGCCAUUAGAGGGAUAACGAACAGAAGCGAGAAGAUGGCGGAGAACCAGUCGUUUUGGUUGGAGGAGUCCUUGAGGGACACGGGCACCAUGAUGAGUUGACGCUCGCCCGUUUCUGUGACGUUCAUGGACGGCCUCAGAGCAACGAUAAGCGCCUCGUGGAGGAACGACGUGUUGUUCUUGUUCAGCGUGAACUCCGCGGACCGAUUCACCAGCACCAUGACCGCAGCCACGUGGCCCAUCCUCGCCGCGAUGUGGAGGGCGGUGUUCUGGGGUGGCACACAUGGUCCUUUCAAGAUGACUUCCAUGGCCUUCCUUGCGCCCGCGAAGGCAGCAGCGUGCACAGCAAAAUGGCCGAGCUUGUUCUGCUGGCAGAGCCGAGCUCCGUGUUUUAUCUUCGAGAGACAAACAAAACAAAGACGCUUCUUUGUCAGAAGAUAACUGCGAUGGACGUGCAGGGACUCUCGGAUGCUCACCAGCAAGGUUGUUGUGUCCGAGACUGAUGGCCAAGUGCAGAGGACACAGCAAGGCUUUGUUAAGGAUGUUGGGGUCGGCCUUGAGGUCCAGAAGAGCCCUGCAGCUCCCUGCCUGGUUCUUGUCCACGGCCAAGUGAAGGGGAACGUUUCCGUGGUCGUCGCAGAUGUUGAGAACUGCAGAACGUUACACAAACACGCCGCCGUGAAGGUAAACACACUGAAGAGGUUUUCAUGAUCAAUGAAGGCCAAGUGAAGUACCACGCGAGCCCAUGACGGCGCUGAUGAAGUGGAUGAGGCCGACAUGGCCGCCGGCGGCGGCGUGAUGGACGGGACUGGCUCCGCUCUCAUCUUUCUCACUUAGGACCUCAGGGUUCUUCCUCACCAGGUUCUCCAGCAGAGCCUGGUCACCCUUCUCGGCCAACUGACACAUAGAAUACAAUUGGUUAGUAUUGCUCAAUUAAUAUUUUUAUAUUGUAGGUUUUUUAUUCUCAUAAAAUUGCAAGUUUUUUCUCAUUAGAAUACACAUUUUUUUCUUUUAUUAUUUCAAGAAUAUAUUCAGAAAAUUACGACUUUUUUCUGAUUAGAAUAUCCCUUUUUUCAAAACAUUUCUGCUAUUUUUAUUUACUAAUUUUCCACUUGUU